rnacentral:rRNA from 1 species
GACGAACGCUGGCGGCGUGCCUAAUACAUGCAAGUAGAACGCAGUUGCGAACGGGUGAGUAACGCGUAGGUAACUGCCUGGUAGCGGGGGAUAACUAUUGGAAACGAUAGCUAAUACCGCAUACUACCAGAUGGACCUGCGUUUGAUUAGCUAGUUGGUGAGGUAACGGCUCACCAAGGCAACGAUACAUAGCCGACUUGGUGUGGUGGUCGGCACAACUGGGACUGCGGACAGGGCCAGACUUCGUCCGGAGGCCGCAGUAGGGAAUCUUCGGAAAUGGGGGGAACGCUGACCGAGGAACGCCGCGUGAGUGAAGAAGGGUUUCGGAUCGUAAAGCUCUGUUGUUAAGGAAGCGGUACUUAACCAGAAAGGGACGGCUAACUACGUGCCAGCAGCCGCGGUAAUAC